GUGUAUAACAUGCGGUCGGCCAAAGGAUUUCAGGAAGCCCGUGAAGAACUACUAGGGGUGCAGCCACUGUGCUGCACCAGGGCAUGUGUAAUUAGGAGUCCUAUUGGGUGGUCCAUGCACUUAGGGCCACCAGGAGGAGGCAGUAAUGGAGACCAGGGCGGGAGAGACUGGAGCAGCACAGAGGGAGCAAAGAGAAGGCAGGAG